UCGGAGAUGCUCUCAGCUCUCAUACGCAGUCACACCAACGUCGUCGUCUCGAGGGAGGAGUGGGUGGGAGGAGAAGAAGGUGGAGGCGGCGGCGGCGGUUUUGAUCUCUGUGCUCUGCCUUGACGCGGGAGGCAGCGGAUCGAUCCGGCCGAACUAGCUGCCAGAAGGAUGGGUCACCGUCGUCCCCAACCCCAUGGCUCACCACCCGCCUCAGCUCACUCUCUGACACCGCUCGCUGCAUGAUCUGGGCUGCUCGGGGGAGGAGUUGUUUCCCGAGUUGUGCUCGCCACCGGGACCGACGGAUCCAGGCUUCCAUCGAGCUCACGCGUCACCAUCGCCGCCAGGAGGCACAAACGGGUGCUCUCCGCCACCGCCGCCACUCUGCCUCAUGAGUACAUGCCCACACCCACGACGGCGAGGCGCUCCAUGCCUGGGCGCGCUCAAAGUGCGGCGCCGCCUCCCACGCGCCCGUCUCCAACUCCCUCAUCACCUUCCAUUCCUCCCUCCCGCGGCCCCUCGUCCCCGCGACCCUGGUCGUCUUCGCGGACAUCCCCGCCGUCGCCCGCGACGUCGCCUCGUGGAACUUCCUGCUCAACCCACUCUCGCACGCUCCGCGUCUGCUGGAGCCGCUGCCCACACUCUCGCUUGCAAGGCCCCCUCGGCUAGCUCCAAUGUGGUCGUGUCCACAGCUCUGCUCAACAAUAACUGCAAACUGGACCUUUAUCCCCGAAGCCCGCAGAGUGUUUGACGAAAUGCUGCUGCGAAAUGAGUUCUCAUGGGCCGCCAAGGUGGCGGCUAUGCUGCUACAAAAUGCUCUGAUGAUGCCUUUGAGCUCUUCCAGGUGAUGCUUCACGAGUACCCAUCACAGAAAAAACAAGUUUGUGGCCACAACAGUUCUUGGCAUGGUUAGUGUGCCAUUGGGCUUGCCGAUGGAGGUGCAGCUGCAUGGGUUGGCAGUGUAGGAUGGGCUGGUGGUGUUUGUGUCGGUUGAAAACUCGCUUGUCACGAUGUAUGCAAAGGUUGGUUGUAUGGAUGCAGCAUUACAUGUGUUUGCGUCGUCUAAGGAGAGGAACUCCAUCACUUGGUCUGCGGUGAUCACUGGGUACGCGCAGAAUGGGAAUGCAGAAAGCGCAUUUAGAAUGUUUUUACAGAUGCUUACUGAAGGGUUUUCACCAAGUGAGUUCACUGGUUGGUGUGCUCUAUGCUUGUAGUGAUGUGGGAGCAUCGAUGGAAGGAAAGCACGCACAUGGUUGAUGGUGAAGCUAGUAGACAUGUAUGCCAAAUGUGGCUGUAUUGCUGAUGCAAAGGAAGGUUUUGAUCAAUUUCACGAGACAUUGUUCUUUGGACGUCUAUGGUUGUCGGGCAUUUGCAGAAUGGGGAGCACGAGGAAGCCUUGAGGUUGUAUGCCAGGAUGGACAAGGAGGGCAUCACUCUGACUAACUUGACUACGUCCAUCGCGCGGCGCGGCUACCCGUCGCUGGUGUACGGCGACGGGGCCGCCUGACGAGGACGUCAAGGUUGCUGUUGAUAACUGCAGCGAUAGGUCAUCAGAUCUGUCAUCGGCGCCGUUCUUCCGCUCGAUGCAUCUGUCGUCCACGUGCUCCUCCUAAAGUUCCUCCUCGCCACCACGGGUGGACGUCGGUGAGGCUGGCCUUCCCUCCAUGCGCAAGGCAUGGUAUAAUAGCCAUAUUUCUUGUUAUCUUCUCAUGCUGCUGCAGCAACUUCUUGAUGAAUUGUGACUUGAGACACCUCCCUGCGCAUUACCAUCAGUAUUUACAAGAAAAUGAGGUGAAAGCUAAUACAGUUGGAAGCUACCCUAUGAAUAAUGGAGGAUGCACCAGCAGGAAAGCGAAGGGAAAUUUUCAGAGAUUCAAGCAUGAUACUCUGCAUGCGAGUAAGUGUUACCUAGGCUAGAGGUCCAAGAACUUGGAGGUUUCCCCGUGACCAUGGAUAUCAUGAUGUUAAGUGACAUGAAACAAUUCUCGAGCAGUUCCAUAUCUUAUGGCUUGGUGAUUGAACUACUGCAUAUGUCCUCCAUACUCGUGAGCAAAAGCUCUGGUUAAAACACAUGACUGCAAGCAACCGUUUGAGAGAGAUCAGAGUGAAGAUGCAGACGUAUUUUUGCGGGCUGGAAAGAAGGAAGAAUUUAUUUUUCUCCAACACAUAAAUACUCUUUCAAUUCAAACCGGUAUUCUGGUUACGGGGUGCAUCCCAAGUUAAAAAGGAUGGUAACACUAAUUGUUGGGACUAAAUUAUAUUGUUAUAUAACUUUCUUGGCCUAAAUAUUAUUUAGUAAACAUGUAUGUUCCAUAUCCUAUUAAUAUGUGUGCAUCUUGUCAAUUUGUUCCCAUUGGUGCAAUGUCUAUUUGAUCUUAUUAUUAGGUAUUAUGGGAAAGUUAGUAACAAGUAUUGCCCUUGAGCAAGCUCUUUCUAUUUAUGUGAUUCAGUUAACAAAUUCAGUGGAUACGAGCAUGGCCUUGCCAUCGUUGGGUUUGGUGUUACACUGCAGUUUGUUGUUGAUGUGGUAGAUAACUGUGCUAUCUUACAAAGUGUUUGUACUUGGAUCUUCUUAGGAAUAGUUUUUGUUUAUUUAUUAAUGCAUUUUACAUAGUGAAAAUGUCCCUAAUUAUUCUCUGUUGUGUUUAAUUAGCCUGCCAAUUUUUCAUAUGUAUCCUUUGCCCUGACAAAAGGUCAUUUUGCCACUGCCUUAGAAGUUAAUUGUCUUCAUAUAUUCAGUUCAGCUGUAGAUUCAAUCAUUUACAUGUGUGAGUAGGUGUUCCUUCCGUAACUUGACAUGAAAAUAAUAUUGGGCAUGGCAGGUUAUAUUAUCAAUACAUGAUGUAUUUUAACUAAAAGAGAAAUUCCAGAUUCGCGAAGAGCUUAUGAUUUCAGAGAUUAAUGCAAAUAAAAUACUUGCUUUACUAAUUAUAAGUUCCUUUGUGUUUUCGGUUGGGUUCCAAGUUGAUACGUUAAGCUCACAAAUAAUGCAUGUAUCCAGAUUUUAUAUAUGUACCAGAUAGAUUGGCCAUUAAUUUCUUAUAGAGCAAUAGUUAUUUUAGCUAACUCCCAAGGAAAUCGAUAUAAAAAAACCUGUCUAAACACUAAAUGUCCUUGCAGAUCUUGUUCUCAUGUUGUCAAUUCAAGGCGAUCACGAGAUAUUCUCAUGCAGUUUACAAGGUUUACUUGGAGAUUAAAAUAUUGCUAAUGUUUCUAAUCCCUUCGAAUGACUUGGCUAUUAUCCGCAUUAUGUUUCUAAAUGCCUAUGCUCUAUAUAAUUGGUCAUUCAAUUAGCAUUAGAUUCCUCAACCAGUGCAGCUUCAGUUUUUUCUUUGGUCGAAUAGCCGUUUCAUUUUAUGUUGACAAAGAUCUGGCUCUGUUCUAAGGUUAAGUUUCUGGUCAGUUUUGUAAGGUUUUUCAUGAAAGAUUCUCUUUAGAGUCCUAUUUUAUAUCUUUCUAUAUGGUUCUUUACAUGGAAGUACUAUGUUCUUUUGCUGAUAUUACUCUUUUGCUAUUAUACAGAUUUGGAUGCACCUGCAGAAUCAUGACAGUACAUAGAGAAAUUCAUCAACAGGUUGUUGCAACACUCAACUGAUAUCUGUUCCGAGGCGUUACCAAGUACUACAGCUGGAUUAGUGCGAACAAUCGCGCCCCAAGAGACGCGCCUAAGGCGCGUCCCAGCCACUAGUGUGUUAGCCGUACGUUGCGCAACCCUGCACCCCUCGGUUUCUUUUAGUGGAUCGGCCCAAUAGUAUAUUUCAUCGAUAUCACUUAGUUUUAGUCUCCUGAUUCGACAACGCACUGCGUAUGACCAGGGGUGUACGCUCGCAUGACGUCAAACGUGAAUAUCGUUGAUCAACACAAUGCAUGCAUGCAUCUCCAUUCAGUUUCUUCAUAUAAAAACCCUUCAAGGAAGCAUCUAUGAGCUUCUAGCCAGGUCUUUUCAUUUCUCUAUUAUUCAGUAGAGUUUGUUUUUUUAUUUCUUGUUUUACCUUUUGGUUCUUUUUAAUGCAAACAUUUUUAAAUAUCAUUUUCUUAACUUUGUGAAAAAAUCAAACUUUUUAACACUUCUUAAUUCAUGAUUUUUUCAAAAUUGCAGUCACUUUUUCAUAUUC